UGGGGAAUAUUGCACAAUGGGGGAAACCCUGAUGCAGCAACGCCGCGUGAAGGAUGAAGGUUUUCGGAUCGUAAACUUCUAUCAACAGGGACGAAACAAAUGACGGUACCUGAAUAAGAAGCCCCGGCUAACUACGUGCCAGCAGCCGCGGUAAUACGUAGGGGGCAAGCGUUAUCCGGAAUUACUGGGUGUAAAGGGAGCGUAGGCGACACGUCAAGCCAGAUGUGAAAGCCCGGGGCUUAACCCCGUGGAUUGCAUUUGGAACUGGCGAGCUAGAGUACAGGAGAGGAAAGCGGAAUUCCUAGUGUAGCGGUGAAAUGCGUAGAUAUUAGGAAGAACACCAGUGGCGAAGGCGGCUUUCUGGACUGAAACUGACGCUGAGGCUCGAAAGCGUGGGGAGCAAACAGGAUUAGAUACC
rnacentral:rRNA from 1 species